rnacentral:rRNA from 1 species
AGAGUUUGAUUCUGGCUCAGGAUGAACGCUGGCGGCGUGCUUAACACAUGCAAGUCGAACGAAGCGCCUUGCCGGAACCCCUUCGGGGAGGAAGGCAUUGCGACUGAGUGGCGGACGGGUGAGUAACGCGUGGGCAACCUGCCCCAUACAGGGGGAUAACAGUUAGAAAUGACUGCUAACACCGCAUAAGCGCACAGGGCCGCAUGGCCCGGUGUGAAAAACUCCGGUGGUAUGGGAUGGGCCCGCGUCUGAUUAGCCAGUUGGCGGGGUAACGGCCCACCAAAGCGACGAUCAGUAGCCGACCUGAGAGAGUGACCGGCCACAUUGGGACUGAGACACGGCCCAAACUCCUACGGGAGGCAGCAGUGGGGAAUAUUGCACAAUGGGGGAAACCCUGAUGCAGCGACGCCGCGUGAGCGAAGAAGUAUCUCGGUAUGUAAAGCUCUAUCAGCAGGGAAGAAAAAUGACGGUACCUGACUAAGAAGCCCCGGCUAACUACGUGCCAGCAGCCGCGGUAAUACGUAGGGGGCAAGCGUUAUCCGGAUUUACUGGGUGUAAAGGGAGCGCAGGCGGCGCGGCAAGUCUGAUGUGAAAGCCCGGGGCUCAACCCCGGGACUGCAUUGGAAACUGUCGCGCUCGAGUGUCGGAGAGGUAAGUGGAAUUCCUAGUGUAGCGGUGAAAUGCGUAGAUAUUAGGAGGAACACCAGUGGCGAAGGCGGCUUACUGGACGACAACUGACGCUGAGGCUCGAAAGCGUGGGGAGCAACACAAAAAUUAGAUACCCUGGUAGUCCACGCCGUAAAC